rnacentral:misc_RNA from 1 species
ACUUGAUAUUUGAACAACUUCAUCAAGUAUACCAACGUCCAAAACUCCAGGAAUAAAGCCAGCACCAAUUCCUUGGAUCUUAUGUGGGCCAGGUUUCCCUCCAGACAACACAGCACUUUCAACUGGCUCUACACCAUAAAGCUUAAUAUCAGGGUUUUGCUCCUUAAGAUACUGCCCUGCACCUGUCACUGUACCCCCAGUCC